GGAGGCUGGCAAUAGGUGGAAUUUUUUGUAAACCGUGUCAGAAUCGAAAGAUGGCAGCACUAACAAGAAUAUUUCAGGUUGUUGUUCAGUCUCCUUU
rnacentral:SRP_RNA from 1 species